rnacentral:misc_RNA from 1 species
AAGUCGUAACAAGGUUUCCGUAGGUGAACCUGCGGAAGGAUCAUUAACACGUAUCCAACGUUAAAACAACCCUGUGAACCUUCAAUCUUGCUCGCGUGGCUCCAUGAAAGCAGCAAUCCCUGGUAAAUCAUUGUCGACCAGAUUUUGAGUCAGGGACCUCUGCCGAUGAGAGUUACGCUCGUAGCGAUGCAAGCGACCUGGCACCCCCAAGCAAUCAGAGUUCUGAAAGCGUCUUUGAUUGUGUAAGGGUGGCGCAAACACGAUCGUUGGAGGCCGACACGGCCGACGACCGGGUCAGCGAGCUCUGCUCCCACUGUUACGACAAACCUCUGUUCCCCUCUAGUGAAAGCUAUUGGGUUAUAACUAAACGACUGUUAACAAUGGAUAUCUCGAUUCUC